rnacentral:rRNA from 1 species
AUUGAACGCUGGCGGCAUGCCUUACACAUGCAAGUCGAACGGCAACAGGUCUUCGGAUGCUGACGAGUGGCGAACGGGUGAGUAAUACAUCGGAACGUGCCUAGUAGUGGGGGAUAACUACUCGAAGGAGUGGCUAAUACCGCAUGAGAUCUACGGAUGAAAGCAGGGGAUCGCAAGACCUUGUGCUACUAGAGCGGCCGAUGGCAGAUUAGGUAGUUGGUGGGAUAAAAGCUUACCAAGCCGACGAUCUGUAGCUGGUCUGAGAGGACGAUCAGCCACACUGGGAUUGAGAAACGGCCCAGACUCCUACGGGAGGCAGCAGUGGGGAAUUUUGGACAAUGGGCGAAAGCCUGAUCCAGCAAUGCCGCGUGCAGGAUGAAGGCCUUCGGGUUGUAAACUGCUUUUGUACGGAACGAAAAGCCCCGGGUUAAUACCCUGGGGUCAUGACGGUACCGUAAGAAUAAGCACCGGCUAACUACGUGCCAGCAGCCGCCGUAA